CCUGAAGGAGGAUCAGGAGCUGACCAACUAGACACAGUCGACUGAACGACGGACAUUGGAGCAAGGUUCAGAUGUUUCAGAAGCGGGUUAUUGGGUUUGGGGCGCAGCUGUCAAUUACCUCGAGUGAUUACGCUGAUAUGUUUUGGGGUUUGCACGAUGCAGAAGAGUGGCAGGGGUAUACCUAUGUCUCCUCACAGUUUUCAGUGCAGCACAGUUGUGGAUGCUCCAGCAACCAGUUGUACAAAUAAUGAUCUAAGCUUCCAAAAAGCAUCUGAACCUGAUUUUUAUUGUGUGUUUAUUGAGAGUGUGAGAAAGAUACUAUCCAUAUGUAACCAGUGACAAAACGACUAUUUUAUUGCUCCUCUUUAUAGUUCACUACCUUCCAUUAAUGCACCAUGCCAAUGUAUCUGUUUGGUUUAAGAUUCAGUACAAUGUAGUCAGUAUUGGAUGAGUAUGGUUGUUAAAAUGCCAAUAAUGUUGUAUUGGAUGAUUAGUAUGGUUGUUAAAUGCCAAGUUAUAUUUGGAUGAA